ACAUGCAGGGGUGCCUGAUUCGCAGCGGAUAACACAUCCGCCAAAAGGCUGAGAGAGCGUACGCUUAACCCUUUGAACCUGACAGUUAGUACUGGCGUAGGGAGCAGAUUC
rnacentral:ncRNA from 1 species